UACAGAGGUCCCAAGCGUUGUUCGGAUUCACUGGGCGUAAAGGGUGCGCAGGUGGGUUUGCAAGUUCGAUGUGAAAGCCCCGGGCUUAACCCGGGAAUGGCAUUGGAUACUGCAGAUCUGGAGGAUCGGAGGGGGGACUGGAAUUCCUGGUGUAGCGGUGAAAUGCGCAGAUAUCAGGAGGAACACCGGUGGCGAAGGCGGGUCUCUGGGCCGAUACUGACGCUGAGGAGCGAAAGCGUGGGGAGCGAACAGG
rnacentral:rRNA from 1 species